UACGUAGGGUCCAAGCGUUAAUCGGAAUUACUGGGCGUAAAGCGUGCGCAGGCGGUUCGUUAAGUCAGCUGUGAAAGCCCCGGGCUCAACCUGGGAAUUGCGGUUGAAACUGGCGAACUAGAAUCUGGCAGAGGGGGGUGGAAUUCCCCGUGUAGCAGUGAAAUGCGUAGAGAUGUGGAGGAACACCGAUGGCGUAGGCAGCCCCCUGGGCUGAGAUUGACGCUCAGGCACGAAAGCGUGGGGAGCAAACAGG
rnacentral:rRNA from 1 species